UGGGGAAUUUUGCACAAUGGGGGAUACCCUGAUGCAGCGACGCCGCGUGAUUUUGAAGGCCUUCGGGUUGUAAAAAUCUUUUCUAUGGGAAGAAAAUGACAGUACCAUAGGAAUAAGGACCGGCUAAUUACGUGCCAGCAGCCGCGGUAAUACGUAAGGUCCGAGCGUUGUCCGGAAUCAUUGGGCGUAAAGGGUACGUAGGCGGGUAAGCAAGUUAGAAGUGAAAUCCUAUAGCUCAACUAUAGUAAGCUUUUAAAACUGCUCAUCUUGAGGUAUGGAAGGGAAAGUGGAAUUCCUAGUGUAGCGGUGAAAUGCGCAGAUAUUAGGAGGAAUACCGGUGGCGAAGGCGACUUUCUGGCCAUAACCUGACGCUGAGGUACGAAAGCGUGGGUAGCAAACAGG
rnacentral:rRNA from 1 species